rnacentral:misc_RNA from 1 species
GGCACCAUAAAAGGUCAAAACCUGAAACAAUCCCUACGCGACCCCACUUGAUUUGACAUGUUUGCCACUUCUACAUGAAGAAGUGUUUUUUCAUUGAUGAACUUUCUGGGUUCUAUGCUCCUUCUUUGAUUAACUAUACUCUUCAAGUUCAAAGAUUAAAAAAGAUGGUAUCAACAUCAUGAAAAAUCAACUUAGAAAAAACAUUAUUUUGGUCGGUAAUAUUUGAUUAAGUUGGUUAUAUUUGAUUAGGUGCAUUUUGAGAAU